ACCCCAUGGAGCUUUAAACCUGACUACACCCUUAUCUAUUAUACCCCCUUAAUCAACAGGACCCUGUCUGUCAGUUUUAGGUUGGGGUGACCACGGAGCACAAAUAAACCUCCAUGAUGAACUGGACUAACCCAUUAUCUAAGAAAAACACCUCAAAGAAUUAGCACACUAACAUAAAAUGAUCCGACACUCGAUCAACGAACCAAGUUACCCUGGGGAUAACAGCGCAAUCUACUUCAAGAGCCCAUAUCGACAAGUGGGUUUACGACCUCGAUGUUGGAUCAGGGUAUCCUAGUGGUGCAGCAGCUACUAAAGGUUCGUUUGUUCAACGAUUAAAACCCU
rnacentral:rRNA from 1 species